CACUUCACGUCGUGGCCCGACUUCAACGUGCCGGCGUCCGAGGCCGCUUUGCUGAGGCUCAUCAGCAGCGUCAGGGCGCGUGUCGGGGAGACGGAGUCUCUUGCCCCCAUACUUGUGCACUGCAGUGCGGGGGUGGGCAGGACGGGCACCUUCAUCGCGCUGUGGAACCUCCAGCAGCAGCACCAGCGGGGCGCCCCCAUCGACAUCGACGCGACCAUCCUCAAGAUCAGGGAAGACAGGAACUUGCUCGUACAGUCUAAGGAGCAGUACCUGUUCGUGCGCAAGUGCUUCUCCGAGUAUUUGAGAAAAAAUUGAAACAUCAACGCUAACGGAAACUUGGUGUUGUUCGGCUGAAGCUUCUCUUUUAUGCAAGUUUGA
rnacentral:lncRNA from 1 species